UCCAGGUUGGCUGGAUGGACUGGUCGGGAGGUUGGAUCUCGCUCCCCGAUGCUGUGGCCUGGGUUCCCAGCACUCAGCAUCCUGGAUCCCCACUCUUCUAGGAGACAGAUUUGACCUGAAUCAGGAGCCCCAGCUGAACCGGAGCAUUGGACUCCGUGUUGCGGUGUGACCGCCGCAAGGUGGCAGCAGAAUCUGGAGCUCUUCGCUGACGUCAGGUCCAGACCCCUUCGUGUUGGCAAAGAUCUGCCCAG